AUGCAUGAAACUCUGGCCCAAAAUGAUUUCACAAGAUUGGUGGUCACCUUGUGGGCAAUCUGGAGAGAUAGGAGGGAAGCUAUACACGAGGAGAUUUUCCAAAGUCCGCUGUCAACUUUCUCUUUCAUUAACUCUUUUCUAGAUGACUUGGAGUCUCUUAAGCAGCCAGCUAUUGCUCAAGCAAGGAAUCAGCCGGCCAGAGCGCAGGUGUGGAUUGCACCAUCGUUGGAAUUUGUGAAACUGAACACCGACACGGCAGUAACGAGGAAUGGAAGCUAUGGCUCAGUUGCGGCUUUGUGCCGUGACGCGGGAGGUACUUUUCUGGGAGCUUCAUGCAUAACAUUUAGGAACAUUUCGGAUCCUGAGAUUCUUGAGGCUUUGGCACUAAGAGAAGCCCUGGCUUUGGCGAACGAUCUUUACACUACUAGGAAAAGAGCUAUAGAUGAUAUGGACAUUAAUGGCGCACCGUGUAAUACAGGUGCGCCAUUAGUAAUAUAUUACUAA
rnacentral:rRNA from 1 species